AUUGAACGCUGGCGGCAUGCUUUACACAUGCAAGUCGAACGGCAGCGGGGUAGUGCUUGCACUACUGUCCGGCGAGUGGCGAACGGGUGAGUAAUAUAUCGGAACGUACCGAGUAAUGGGGGAUAACCAAUCGAAAGAUUGGCUAAUACCGCAUACGUCCUGAGGGAGAAAGCGGGGGAUCGCAAGACCUCGCGUUAUUCGAGCGGCCGAUAACUGAUUAGCUAGUUGGUGGGGUAAAGGCCUACCAAGGCGACGAUCAGUAGCGGGUCUGAGAGGACGAUCCGCCACACUGGGACUGAGACACGGCCCAGACUCCUACGGGAGGCAGCAGUGGGGAAUUUUGGACAAUGGGGGCAACCCUGAUCCAGCCAUGCCGCGUGUAUGAAGAAGGCCUUCGGGUUGUAAAGUACUUUUGUUAGGGAAGAAAAGGGAAGUGCUAAUACCACUUUUUGCUG
rnacentral:rRNA from 1 species